UGGUGGAGUGAUUUGUCUGGUUAAUUCCGAUAACGAACGAGACCUUAACCUGCUAAAUAGCUUACUGAACAUACGUUCUGGCAAGCUUCUUAGAGGGACUAUCUGUGACUAACAGAUGGAAGUUUGAGGCAAUAACA
rnacentral:rRNA from 1 species